GACAGAGGGUGCAAACGUUGCUCGGAAUUACUAGGGCGUAAAGCGCGUGGUAGGCGGUUCCGCCAGUCUGGUGUGAAAGCCGGGGCUCAACCCCGGAAGCGCAUUGGAUACUACGGAGCUUGAGUCCUGAAGAGGAAAGCGGAAUUCCCGGUGUAGAGGUGAAAUUCGUAGAUAUCGGGAGGAACACCAGCGCGAAGGCGGCGCUCUGGGCCGGUACUGACGCUGAGGAGCGAAAGCGUGGGGAGCAAACAGG
rnacentral:rRNA from 1 species